GGGUGUGGAAGCGCAGUAAUGCGCGUAGCUAACCAGUACUAAUUGCCCGUGCGGCUUGAUCCUAUAACCUUGUAGGUUA
rnacentral:rRNA from 1 species